UUUUUUUUUUUUUUGGAAAACUUCAAAAACCCCCCCUGUGGUUUCGUCCAUUCUCACUUUGCUACCCUGUGGUUUAAAACGUAUCAAUUUACCCCCCUGUGGUUUUAUUUUUAUCUUUUCGGAAGCUUUUUCGUUAAUAUUUCGUUAAAUUAUAUACAAAAAACUUCAGAUAACCAUCUAUAUUUAUCGAAUAGUCACUUUAGUAUUCUUUAAUUUUAACUGUCACUGAUUUUAAAAAAAAAUAAUAAUAAAAUUGAUAACAAAAAGAUAAAAACGAAACCACAGGGGGGCAAAAUGAUACGUUUUAAACN
rnacentral:lncRNA from 1 species